CUAAUCAUUAAACAUCUAAUCUAAUAAAAACAUAUUUUUUUUACAAUGAGGUGUUUAUUCAUUCAUAAAUAUUUCUACAUUCAGUUCAAUACUAAAAAAUAAGAAAUCCAUAAGUUAAUGGAAUUAGUUGCUGUUCGAUUCGGUACAUUUUUGAUGUCUAGAAGCUAGUGAAAGUUACGUCGUGAAAAUGAACACAAGCGCAUGUACAUUUCAGCACGGCUCCGGUUAUAAAGCUUGUUUUUCUUCUACAGAAAAACGUCUACAAGGUGCAUCGAAAGAGCGAACGCAAAAACAGGGCCGUGAUGCCGAGGAGCUGAAUUACGCUGGCCUGAAUUUCACUGAGAGGAAAACUACAAGUGGAAGAAUAAAAAGAGGACAAAAUCAAGAUACGGUUUAUUCUGAAGUGAUACUUAGAUAAAUGUUAAUAGUAACAUUAUUAUAAUUUAAUCUCUCCAAGGCGGAGAGUUCAUACUGUAUAAACUUCAUCAGAGCUUCAUGUUGAGGAAGCAUUUCAUUAUAAUUUGUUAAACUCGCCAUUAUGAAUGAUGAUGAAUGUUUUUUUUUUCCUAUGUGCAUUUAUAAAGUGAAAGAAAUGGUGUGUUCUGUUUAAUUAUGAGCGAGGGCGAGGGAUCAAAAACGAGAAAAGGAGAGAGAGAGAGAGAUAGAGAGAGAGAGAGAGAGAGAGAGAGAGUGUGAAUAAAACAGUGCACAGUGAGUGUGCUGCACACACACACACUCUCACACACACACACACACACACACACACACACACACACACACACACACACACACACACACACACACACACACACACACACACACACACACGAUCCACAGUUUUAUUCUCAAGUAAACACUACAGUACCGAGCUCUCCGGAUAUCUGACAGACUCUCGACUGUCAGUUGCACACACACACACAUAUAUAUCUAGAAACGUAAAUUCUUAUGGUUACUGUUUCUGGGUUUGUUCUUAGAUUUGAAUGAUUUGAUGAGAUCGACAACUAACAACAUUCCUGCUAAAUUACUAGGAGAGUUAAUGUGUGAACUAAAGCCAGGACAUUAGUGGGAAAGAGGACAAGGUGUUUGUGUGUCCUAUAAAAUGUUUAGAGGUAGGUAGUUAGGUACAUAGGUAGGUAGGUAGGUAGGUGGGUAGAUAGAUAGAUAGAUAGAUAGAUAGAUAGAUAGAUAGAUAGAUAGAUAGAUAGAUAGAUAGAUAGAUAGAUAGAAGUUGGCCACAGCACAUAUUUCAUAUUUAUUUUUUUCAAUAUUUGGGUUUUACAGGAUUAAAUGAAGCAGUAUUUAAAGUGUAGAUGCAUGUUUACUUUUUUGUCUUUAUUCAGGUAAAUAUAUACAAAUAUAUACAAAUAUUAUACAAAUAUAAUGUUUAAUGUAAGAAGAAGAGAAGUGCUUUAUAAAUGUCACAACAAUGUCACUUAAUUAGAAAUGUGUUAGAUAAUUCACAUUAAACAUUAGAGCUGUUUUUCACAGUAGAGUAAACGCAUUGGUCUCCUGUUGUGUCAGUUUGUGUCCGACUUUUUACUG